rnacentral:lncRNA from 1 species
GACACAAGAAGGUACCAAAGAAAAUGAAAAAACCCUUGGUAGUAACGGAAGCAUGAAAAAUUAAGCGCCCCCAUUUCUCCCAAACCAAGUUCGCGUAUGUUUUCGUGAACAAACACCUUGGAUCUUUCCGGUUCGCCAGGGCAGCGAGCAAAGCAGCAGCGAACGGAAACCCCGCAGGGCUGCGCACCGCAGCUAAACCGACGCUCGCAGGAGAGGGGAAGUGAGUGGCAGGGUUCCCUGCCAAGACUCACUGCUGGGAAACAGGCAGUGAGUGGAAGCAGCAGCAGCUCUGGAGACCCCAGCGGAGACAACACUCUACCUGGACAUUUUAUUUGCUGUAAUGUUCUUACGAGUUGCAAGCCUGGUCCACUUUUUACUUCACAACUAAUGUGGAAGAGAACACAUCUGAUUCCAAGGAGAGGAGACUCAUCUCUUGUCCUCAAUAACAAAUGAGGAAUCUGAAGAGCUUGUUUUAAACAAUUUUGGUGGUCUUACAACCCACUGGCAUAGAAUCUCGAGUGUACUUCUUUCUAUUCACCAUGCCACCUACUUCUACUGCAGACAUGAAAUUAAUCAAGAUCACGUAGAAAUCCAUUGGCUUGGGAGGACAGAACAAUCUUAUUCAUAGAAACAUGAUGUUACUUUAUUAGUAAACAAAUUCAGUAU